ACAAUGCUUUAUUCUCUUGAUGUGACAUCUUCUUUUGACAACCCAUCUUCUCUUGAUACUUAUCUUGUAUCUUCAAGUGAUGCGGUGUCUACCUCUGAUGUGCCAUCUCUUCGUUAUCUCCUUCGGCGACUCGACAAGUUUUGAAGACUCUUCAUGCUACGACGACACUCUCAAGACGCGGAUUUGGAUUAUCAUUUUUUUUCUUCAGUAUUACACUUCUUCAAAUGCAAUGCUAUUGCAUACACUUUGCAUUUGAGGGGGGGGGGGUGUUAGGAAGUAUUAGUAUUAGUCUAGGAGUCCUCAUUAGUCUAUUAGUAU
rnacentral:lncRNA from 1 species